UUAAUGUAACUAAGGUUGUGAAUAAUUUUUUGCCUCGUUGGAUUUCCGCCUAACCUUACCUGCGCACAGCCAGGAAACAAAAUAACUUCUCUUCCUGAAUCCACGAUUUCAAGUUUAUCUUCUCUUCAAUUUUUUCCUUUAAUUCGUAAAACCUAACUUCAAUUCAUCAAGAACCGAUUUCACAGAGCUCAAGCAAUUCACCACCGCACCACCGCACCAUCGCCGGCGAAGGGCGACUCGUUCUCCUUCCCAAUCGCUUCUCCAUCUUCCUAAUUUCUUCUACUUUGUGGUUCCAUUGGAACUUCAACCGCUACCGCAACCACCGUCUCCACCACCACAUACGACCUCCGUUCUGCCGCCAGUUCUUCAGCUCCUGUAAUUUUAGAAAUUUUAUUGUUAUUUUGGGGAUUUCUUUCGAUUUCGUUGUGCAAUUUCAAGCUAAAGUUGAUAGAGAGGGAAAUUAAAGCAACCAUCAACACUUUUACAGGGGAAAUCAGUACUUUCCUCAAGUUCCUGCCACUUAUUCUCAAGCGAUGAUUGACGAGACACGGGAUACCUUGGUUACAUACUUUUUCAAGCAAAGAUUGAUGAAGAUGAAGAAAAUGAUAUGAUCAUGAAUGACCUUUGUAGCUAGUACAUAUUGAAACUUUCUAACAAAUGUUUUGGGAAUCUCGUAGCAAGUUAAUACAUUUGAAGUACUUUUUUUAGAUUUGAACUUGUGAUUAGAGUUUGGAGAAUGUUAUAUUACAUUAGUUUUAUUUACUUUAUUGCUUUGGAGAACAAGAAGUUGGUACAUUGGUCGGUUUGGAGAAUUUUUAAGCAUAUCAUAUAGAGUUGAUGGAUUAUUAAUUACCA